rnacentral:rRNA from 1 species
UGGGGAAUAUUGGACAAUGGGCGCAAGCCUGAUCCAGCCAUGCCGCGUGUGUGAAGAAGGCCUUAGGGUUGUAAAGCACUUUUCAGUGGGGAGGAAGGGUGUUGUGUUAAUAGCACGGCAUUUUGACGUUACCCACAGAAGAAGCACGGCUAACUCCGUGCCAGCAGCCGCGGUAAUACGGAGGGUGCAAGCGUUAAUCGGAAUUACUGGGCGUAAAGCGCACGCAGGCGGCUUUUUAAGUCGGAUGUGAAAGCCCCGGGCUCAACCUGGGAAUUGCAUCUGAUACUGGGAAGCUAGAGUAUGUGAGAGGGGGGUUAGAAUUCCAAGUGUAGCGGUGAAAUGCGUAGAGAUUUGGAGGAAUACCAGUGGCGAAGGCGGCCCCCUGGCACAAUACUGACGCUCAGGUGCGAAAGCGUGGGGAGC